rnacentral:rRNA from 1 species
CCCUUAGAUGUUCUGGGCCGCACGCGCGCUACACUGAUGCAUUCAACGAGUCUAAAACCUGCUCUGAUAGGGGUGGGUAAUCUUUUGAAUGUGCAUCGUGAUUGGGAUAGAUGAUUGCAAUUUUUCAUCUUCAACGAGGAAUGCCUAGUAAACGCAAGUCAUCAGCUUGCAUUGAUUACGUCCCUGCCCUUUGUACACACCGCCCGUCGCUCCUACCGAUUGAAUGAUCCGAUGAAUAUCAUGGAUUGAGGAUGCAAGUAGGUUAGCCUAUCUUCAUCUUCGAGAAGUGAAGUGAAUCUUAUCAUUUAGAGGAAGGAGAAGUCGUAACA